rnacentral:lncRNA from 1 species
ACAGUCAAAUCUUAUUCAUUAAUUAUCAGAUAAACCUCGAAAAGAGCUAAAUCCCCGUAAAUAAGGAAGGUUUUCGAACCUUGACCAAAAAAAAAAGGUUUUCUGAAUUAAUCCUCUUUUAUAAACCCUCAAAAGAAAAGAUUUUCUAAUUUUUGUUUGUGCUCUGUGUUUAAAUAUUUUGAGAUUCAUUGAUCUUAAGAAAACGAUUAAUAAGUCUC